AUUUCCGCUCCAACAAGAUGAAAGAAACUGUCAUGAACCAGGAGAAACUCGCCACACUGCAAGCACAAGUGCGCAUUGGUGGGAAAGGAACUGCUUGCCGAAAGAAGAAGGUGGUUCGUAGAGCGGCUACAGCAGAUGAUAAAAAACUUCAGUUCUCCUUAAAGAAGUUAGGGGUAAACAAUAUCUCUGGUAUUGAAGAAGUGAAUAUGUUCACAGACCAAGGAACAGUGCUCCACUUUAACAACCCCGAAGUUCAGGCAUCACUGGCAGCGAACACUUUCACCAUUCCAGGCCACGCUGAGACAAAGCGGCGGACAGAAAUGCUACCCAGUAUCUCAAACCAACUUGGAGCAGACAGUCUGACUAGUUUAAGACUGGCUGAAGCUCUGCCCAAACAAUCUGUGGAUGGAAAAGCACCACUUGCUACCGGAGAGGAUGAUGAUGAUGAAGUUCCA